rnacentral:rRNA from 1 species
AGUGAACGCUGGCGGCAGGCCUAAUACAUGCAAGUCGAACGGCAGCACAGCAGAGCUUGCUCUGUGGGUGGCGAGUGGCGGACGGGUGAGGAAUACGUGGGAAUCUGCCCAGUCGUGGGGGAUAACGUAGGGAAACUUACGCUAAUACCGCAUGCGCCCUUCGGGGGAAAGCCGGGGGACCUUCGGGCCUGGCGCGAUUGGAUGAGCCCACGUCGGAUUAGCUAGUUGGCGGGGUAAAGGCCCACCAAGGCGACGAUCCGUAGCUGGUCUGAGAGGAUGAUCAGCCACACUGGAACUGAGACACGGUCCAGACUCCUACGGGAGGCAGCAGUAGGGAAUAUUGGACAAUGGGCGCAAGCCUGAUCCAGCCAUGCCGCGUGAGUGAAGAAGGCCCCUCGGGUUGUAAAGCUCUUUUGUCCGGAAAGAAAAGCGCCGGGUUAAUACCCUGGUGUCCUGACGGUACCGGAAGAAUAAGCACCGGCUAACUUCGUGCCAGCAGCCGCGGUAAU